rnacentral:tRNA from 1 species
GCGAGUGUGGUCCAACGUCAGAACGUCGGCCUGCCGGUCGAAGAUGCAGUGUUCAAUUCCUGCCACUCGCUCCA